rnacentral:rRNA from 1 species
AUUGAACGCUGGCGGCAGGCCUAACACAUGCAAGUCGAACGGUAACAGGAAGAAGCUUGCUUCUUUGCUGACGAGUGGCGGACGGGUGAGCAAUGUCUGGGAAACUGCCUGAUGGAGGGGGAUAACUACUGGAAACGGUUGCUAAUACCGCAUAACGUCGCAAGACCAAAAAGGGGGACCUUCGGGCCUCUUGCCAUCGGAUGUGCCCAGAUGGGUGUAGCUAGUAGGUGGGGUAACGGCUCACCCAGGCGACGAACCCUAGCUGGUCUGAGAGGAUGAGCAGACACACUGUAACUGAGACACGGUCCACACUCCUACGGGGGGCAGCGGUGGGGAAUAUUGCGCAAUGGGGGCGAGCGUGAUGCAGCCCUACCGCGUGUAUGAAGAAGGCCUUCGGGUUGUAAAGUACUUUCAGCGGGGAGGAAGGGAAGAAAGUUAAUACCUUUGCUUAUUGACGUUACCCGCAGAAGAAGCACCGGCUAACUCCGUG